rnacentral:rRNA from 1 species
CCGGCGGUCACGCCGUCCAUGCAGUCGAGCGGUAGAGAGAAGCUUGCUUCUCUUGAGAGCGGCGGACGGGUGAGUAAUGCCUAGGAAUCUGCCUGGUAGUGGGGGAUAACGUUCGGAAACGGACGCUAAUACCGCAUACGUCCUACGGGAGAAAGCAGGGGACCUUCGGGCCUUGCGCUAUCAGAUGAGCCUAGGUCGGAUUAGCUAGUUGGUGGGGUAAUGGCUCACCAAGGCGACGAUCCGUAACUGGUCUGAGAGGAUGAUCAGUCACACUGGAACUGAGACACGGUCCAGACUCCUACGGGAGGCAGCAGUGGGGAAUAUUGGACAAUGGGCGAAAGCCUGAUCCAGCCAUGCCGCGUGUGUGAAGAAGGUCUUCGGAUUGUAAAGCACUUUAAGUUGGGAGGAAGGGCCGUUACCUAAUACGUGAUGGUUUUGACGUUACCGACAGAAUAAGCACCGGCUAACUCUGUGCCAGCAGCCGCGGUAAUACAGAGGGUGCAAGCGUUAAUCGGAAUUACUGGGCGUAAAGCGCGCGUAGGUGGUUUGUUAAGUUGGAUGUGAAAUCCCCGGGCUCAACCUGGGAACUGCAUUCAAAACUGACUGACUAGAGUAUGGUAGAGGGUGGUGGAAUUUCCUGUGUAGCGGUGAAAUGCGUAGAUAUAGGAAGGAACACCAGUGGCGAAGGCGACCACCUGGACUGAUACUGACACUGAGGUGCGAAAGCGUGGGGAGCAAACAGGAUUAGAUACCCUGGUAGUCCACGCCGUAAACGAUGUCAACUAGCCGUUGGGAGCCUUGAGCUCUUAGUGGCGCAGCUAACGCAUUAAGUUGACCGCCUGGGGAGUACGGCCGCAAGGUUAAAACUCAAUGAAUUGACGGGGGCCCGCACAAGCGGUGGAGCAUGUGGGUUUAAUUUCGAAGCAACGCGAAGAACCCUUACCAGGCCCUUGACAUCCAAUGAACUUUCUAAUGCCUCGGAACAUUGAGACAGGUGCUGCAUGCUGUCGUCAGCUCGUGUCGUGAGAUGGUGGUUAGGUCCGUACGAGCGCAACCUGGUCUUAGUACAGCACGGUAAUGUGCACUCUAAGCAGACUGCGUUGACAACCGAAAGAAACGU